GUCUACAGCCAUGCCACCCUGAACAAGCCUGAUGUCUGAUUUUGGAAGCUAAGCAGGGUUGAGCCUGGUUAGUACUUAGAUGGGAGACCACAUAGGAAGUCCAGGUGCUGUAGGCA
rfam:Pteropus alecto contig29629, whole genome shotgun sequence.